UCCGUAUCAUAUUAACAAUAUAAAUCAACGAUUUAUCUCCAAAAAUUUAAGCUAUAUAUAAAGAACGGUGUCUUAAAUAUUUUAUAUUUUAUAUUCAAUACUCUUUUUGGGUUGAAAUUGUUUCACAGCUCAGAAUCUUCUUAUUAAAUACCAAGUUAAAAUAAUAUAUAAUAAUUAUUUUUCUGUAAAAGUUUAAGAAACUGAAAAAAUGGUAUUUGAAGUAUUUAUAUUCAACAAAUGCGCUUUCUAUAUAAAUUUAAUGAAUUGGCAAAAAUUUGUAGUGUUUUGAAUUGUUUGCAAAAAUCAGUUAAGUACCUACAAAAACAGAAUUUUGGACGCACUCUUCAUUCCAUUGGAAUCAAAUGUAGAUUGCAUUCUAAUAAAAUAAUCAGUCACCAGAAUCUAUUUCUUUUAAAAUUAUUAAGUUAUCUGUUUCGUAGAAAUAAACUCAGCAAGAAAUAUGAAAUAAUUAUAAAGUAAUUAGAGUUCGAAUUUGAGAUCUCAUAUACCAAUAAUCAAGUGGUUAGUGAUUUGGGCGCGCGAGAUACGAUGGGUUUUUCUUUUAUUAUUAUUAUUAUUUUGAUAA
rnacentral:lncRNA from 1 species